AGGUCCUCACGAAUACAGCCUCGUCCAUUUUCAGAAACAGUUGAAAGUGAUCAUCUGCAUGGAGGGGGUUAUUCACCAUCAAUCCUGGUUUCACUGGAGGUUUCGAAGUUCACACAGCUCAUUAUUUUUCCUAAAUGGAAUUUGUUGAAUACGAAGUGCUGACUGCCAUCGUUUUUAUGAGCAUCAAGAACUGGGCGGCUGCCAUGAUCAACAAAUAGCAUUUCUCCAGAGCAUUUGCAUCCACAGAAACGCAAGUAUCCCCAGAAGAGCUCAGAUGGCUCCGUCUCCUCUCCCAGGGCCCAGGACGCUCCCUCUGGCUUCCACGGCUUUGGCACAGGAAGCGCCUUCAAGAAAAGGACAAGUGCCCGGGCUGUGUGAUCUGGCCGCCCAACUGUGAGCCAGAGCAGAGCGGAUUCACAGGGAAGCUAAGGAAGCUUAGCUUACCUACCUCUCUUUCCCAGGGGCCCCUUCCAAACCUUUGGAUCAGUGGUGCAUUUGCAACUUGCAUUCUUUUUGUUAAAAGAGCCCUCUACGUUGGAGGAACUCUACCUAAACCACAACCCAACCAGUUGCCGUGGAAUUGAUUCUGACCCAGGUGGAUCCCAGGUGCUGCACAACAGAGGUUUCUCUAGGCUUUGAGAAGAUUGUUGCCAGCCCUUUCUUCCGAGGCACCAAAGGAUGGGUUGGAACCACCAACUUUUCGGU